CGGCGCCAUUAAAGCGAGGAGGAGGCGAGAGCGGCCGCCGCUGGUGCUUAUUCUUUUUUAGUGCAGCGGGAGAGAGCGGGAGUGUGCGCCGCGCGAGAGUGGGAGGCGAAGGGGGCAGGCCAGGGAGAGGCGCAGGAGCCUUUGCAGCCACGCGCGCGCCUUCCCUGUCUUGUGUGCUUCGCGAGGUAGAGCGGGCGCGCGGCAGCGGCGGGGAUUACUUUGCUGCUAGUUUCGGUUCGCGGCAGCGGCGGGUGUAGUCUCGGCGGCAGCGGCGGAGACACUAGCACUAUGUCGGAGGAGCAGUUCGGCGGGGACGGGGCGGCGGCAGCGGCAACGGCGGCGGUAGGCGGCUCGGCGGGCGAGCAGGAGGGAGCCAUGGUGGCGGCGACACAGGGGGCAGCGGCGGCGGCGGGAAGCGGAGCCGGGACCGGGGGCGGAACCGCGUCUGGAGGCACCGAAGGGGGCAGCGCCGAGUCGGAGGGGGCGAAGAUUGACGCCAGUAAGAACGAGGAGGAUGAAGGCCAUUCAAACUCCUCCCCACGACACUCUGAAGCAGCGACGGCACAGCGGGAAGAAUGGUAAAACUUUUAAAUUUUAUUUCUGCCUUAGCUGGGACACUACAAAGAAAGAUCUGAAGGACUACUUUUCCAAAUUUGGUGAAGUUGUAGACUGCACUCUGAAGUUAGAUCCUAUCACAGGGCGAUCAAGGGGUUUUGGCUUUGUGCUAUUUAAAGAAUCGGAGAGUGUAGAUAAGGUCAUGGAUCAAAAAGAACAUAAAUUGAAUGGGAAGGUGAUUGAUCCUAAAAGGGCCAAAGCCAUGAAAACAAAAGAGCCGGUUAAAAAAAUUUUUGUUGGUGGCCUUUCUCCAGAUACACCUGAAGAGAAAAUAAGGGAGUACUUUGGUGGUUUUGGUGAGGUAUGUGGAAUCCAUAGAGCUCCCCAUGGACAACAAGACCAAUAAGAGGCGUGGGUUCUGCUUUAUUACCUUUAAGGAAGAAGAACCAGUGAAGAAGAUAAUGGAAAAGAAAUACCACAAUGUUGGUCUUAGUAAAUGUGAAAUAAAAGUAGCCAUGUCGAAGGAACAAUAUCAGCAACAGCAACAGUGGGGAUCUAGAGGAGGAUUUGCAGGAAGAGCUCGUGGAAGAGGUGGUGGUAAGCUAGAUGGUUAUGGGAAGGUAUCCAGGCGAGGUGGUCAUCAAAAUAGCUACAAACCAUACUAAAUUAUUCCAUUUGCAACUUAUCCCCAACAGGUGGUGAAGCAGUAUUUUCCAAUUUGAAGAUUCAUUUGAAGGUGGCUCCUGCCACCUGCUAAUAGCAGUUCAAACUAAAUUUUUUGUAUCAAGUCCCUGAAUGGAAGUAUGACGUUGGGUCCCUCUGAAGUUUAAUUCUGAGUUCUCAUUAAAAGAAAUUUGCUUUCAUUGUUUUAUUUCUUAAUUGCUAUGCUUCAGAAUCAAUUUGUGUUUUAUGCCCUUUCCCCCAGUAUUGUAGAGCAAGUCUUGUGUUAAAAGCCCAGUGUGACAGUGUCAUGAUGUAGUAGUGUCUUACUGGUUUUUUAAUAAAU
rnacentral:lncRNA from 1 species